AUGCGUCCAACACAAUGGAUAGCCCCUCCACCGGGUACAGUUAAGAUCAACGUUGAUGCUUCAGUUGGGAGAGGAGGACGCUAUGGAUCUGUAGGUGCUCUCUGUAGAGAUCAAACAGGCUUUUUCCUUGGAGCUUCGGCCAUUGUGUUUCAAAGAAUCUUUGACCCAGCUACACUCGAAUGCAUGGCCGUGCGGGAGGCACUAGCACUAGCUGAUGAUCUUUAUGAGAGGAACAUUCAAGUAUCUUCAGAUUGCAAGGUGGUGGUGGAAGAUAUUCGAGAUGGAAAUCCAACAGUCUAUGGAGCACUCAUACAAGAAAUCAUAGAUCAUAAGUCUACUUUUCAGUCUUGUAAUUUUAGUCAUGAAUUUAGGAUCUCAAAUGUCGAGGCUCACAAACUUGCGAAGCAUGCGUUAUCCCUUCCGCCUGGCCGGCAUGUUUAGCUUGGUCAAGCGGAUUGACUUUCAUUCGUCCAUGUAAACAUUGUGACGACAUAA
rnacentral:rRNA from 1 species